AGUCUCACUUGGAAGGUCAGAAUAUCUUUGGGAGAAGUCUGAUAAACGUGGAGAGGUCAAAAAGUGGCAUUUGACUUUUUCAUAUGAGGAUUCAUGAAGGAGGUAAUCAACCAGUGGCAUUUGGUCUAUCUCAGAAGUGAGUUCGAAGAAUCAAGAUAAUCAACAUAUGGCAGCUGAUUAUUCUUGAGGAAAGUCUGAGACAAAUUACUUUUGAGCAGAGAAGUAGUAAGUUGAAGACAAAAGGAGGUGUUUUCUAUUCAUCUCUUGGAGCUUG
rnacentral:lncRNA from 1 species